rnacentral:rRNA from 1 species
UAUCAGUCAUGCAUAGCAUAUCAAUAAGCGGAGGAAAAGAAACUAACAAGGAUUCCCUUAGUAACGGCGAGUGAAGCGGGAAGAGCUCAAAUUUGAAAUCUUCAAGGUUCUACCUUGACAAAUUGUAGUUUAUAGAAGUGUUUUCUGUUAGUAGGAGUGGCAAAAGUUCUUUGGAAUAGGACAUCAUAGAGGGUGAGAAUCCCGUAUUUGGUCAUUCCUUCCUAGCCGUUGUGAUAUACUUUCAACGAGUCGGAUUGUUUGGGAAUGCAGUCCAAAAUGGGUGGUAAAUUUCAUCUAAAGCUAAAUAUUGGCGAGAGACCGAUAGCGAACAAGUACCGUGAGGGAAAGAUGAAAGGAACUUUGAAAAGAGAGUUAAACAGUACGUGAAAUUGUCAAAAGGGAAGCGUUUGACACCAGUGUUGUUUUUCCGAAAAUCAAUUACGAAUGUUUUGUUUUUAAGAAGUUAUGACUUCAUCGGCUUGCUUCUCUCUUUACGAAACUUUCUUAAGUGCACUUUUCGGUUAACAAGUCAACAUCAAUUUCUUUUGUUGUAAAAGGGUAUGAGGAAGGUGGCUUUCUUUUCGGAGAAAGUGUUUAUAGCCUUGUGCCUCUGCAAUCGGAGAGAUUGAGGUCUGCAGCGUAGAUCCUUCGGGGUUAGAUACAGUUUGUGCUAAGUUAUAGCUUUUCAUAGACAACUUGUUGACUAUGUUUAGUCUUGUAGCUUACUCGCUUAUGCUAUUUUACCUACGCUUAGGAUGUUGAUCUCUCACAGUCGAGC